rnacentral:misc_RNA from 1 species
AAAGAAUGAUUUACAAAAUCUGGUACGUGUUAAACUAUCUCAAUAAGUUUUCAGUCUGAAGUCUGCAAGUUAAUUUAUUUUUGUAGAAACCAUACUAUGCACAUUAUCUUUUUGUAUGGUCUUUUCACAAUUAUCUUUUCACAUAUGAUGUUAAAAGUUUGGAGUCACAAUUUAUUUGUAAUUUUUUGCUUGAAAUUGACAAUAUAAGAAAGCAUCUAUUCUAUUGUUUACCAUAAUAAGCCUGAAAUUUUCACUCAUUGUA